rnacentral:lncRNA from 1 species
UUCACAAUCUAUAUAUACUAUGUCACACACAAAGGCCAAAUAUAAUCCUAGAAGUAGCAGAUUUGAAAAUAUUUCUAUUGCACAUAAUAUCAUGUAUCAAGCACCAAACACCAAGGAACUGCUUGGUAUUGAAAUCAUGUAUCUUGUACCAGGGAACUGUUUUGUCCAUCACAUGAGUUUGUCGAAAUAAAUACGACAAAACUGUCCUCUUGCUAAGGUAGUUAACAGCACAGGAGUACAUGGUGAAACGAGUGAAUUCAGAUGAGCUUCUUCUUCUGGAAGAAGCCUUGCAAAUGCCAUAGCUGCAGAGCGGAGACCACAAUGCACACGCCCAGUGACAAGAUGCUGAACCAGGCAACCCUGGAAUUCGUUUUCUCGCUCACUUCCCGCAUCUCCGCUUCCCUGCAUAAACACAUCAAGAUCACGCAUUAUGCUAUGCAUUGCCAGUUCCAAAUAUUAUAUUGUAGUAAAGAUAAGUAAAGCUAGUAGGUUUGCUUGUCCAUAUCCCAAGAACUGUAAGACCACCUAAGAACUUCAAAUAGCAGCUCAAUCUACAGCCCAAGACAGAUGAGACCCGUAGGUUCUGUUUCACAAAUCACAAUGCUGUAGUUUCAUAGUCACCAACUUUUAUAUGUAACAGUUAGUUCAAAGUAUAUUUAUAUUUAGCCUAUAUAAAAACAUCCAACUGGAAAUAGUACAGACUACAGACUCCCCUACCUAAAUAGACUGGUGCAACGUAGCACAACGACCACAAUCUGUUGUCUGGCUAUUAAAACACACACAAAAAGUAGAAUAGAUAACUUGCCUUGCUUUGAGAUAUAAUAAGUUAUGAUGAAUGGAUUCCACUGCAGCUUCAAGUUUCGCGAGCUCUAAUUCAACACCCUGAACACAGAAAUUUCAGAUUAAAAUAAUCAGGAACAAAAAACAAUGCAUUACAUUGAAGUAUAGUGCCAUUUGGACUAGGUGUAUUUAAAUAAUUGGCACACCUCAAUCUUCUCCUUCUUGGCAACAGAGUCCCAGUCCUUUGUCGCAAUCCCUAUCUUCCAAUCAAGAUUUAGAGAUACUCCUGAUCCUUUCUCUGCGCUGUCUAGCCAGAAGCAAGCAAGGUAGUUUCCAGCUUCUGAAGUUGUAAAUGCAAACUGGCCCACUGUGGCAUUUUCUUUGUGAUGUACAGUAUUGCCAUAUGGUGAGGUAACCUACACAAACAUGUACAAUACAAAUGAGUAAGCAAGAAAAAAAAAUUGUCUUCAGAAAUCAUCAUUUCUAAAAAAAUCUUCCAUAAGACUAACUGAUAUAUGGACAUGCUAUGCUAAUUAUGUGUGUGAACAUUAGCAAAAAAAGUCACCAUAUUCAUACACACUCAGCAUGCCAAAGCACCAUUUAGCCACCACAAAAGUUUUACAGAAGAAAACAUAGGCACCGCAAAAGUACAAUACAACAUCCAUGUGUUGCUUGCAGAAUUCUUGGACAUAUGAACGACAGAGUUGUGAACAUGUGGCUAAUCCCAGUUACUUACUGGUACUUUUCCAGUUAUGAGCUACAAUACACAUGUAUCAUCGAAUCUCUGGUUCCCUGGAUUGCGCAACACACAUCAUGAGUCUGAAAUCUGAAGUUCUCAUUAUCUACAACAGGAUGGGUGAGAAGUGGGACCUUAUGUCAUAUCCCUGUAUGUUCAUCCGUCUGCCCACAUGCAAACAUGAUUGCAUCUUACCAGAAUCUCAUCAGCCCAUCCAUAGCGGUGAUAAUGAAUAACAAUCCAUCCCUCGCUUGUUUUCUUAACCCCAAUCAUCUUUUAUUAGUCUCAGUACCUACGACCAUGCUAUUCUAAUAAUAGGUGCCAGGUGCCCAAAGAGUCCUGCAGCUGCAGGUCACGUUACUUGGGAUAUUGCUACAUGCAUAGAAAUUAUCAGUCCACAGCAUGUUGCCCCGAUGUGAAGCAACUAGGAAGUGGCACUUUGGGUCAAUUCGCAUCAAGUCCACCAUGUCUAGCUCAACGGUUCAAACCUCAGCUGCUUCCUCCAGAACAAAGCACUGGAGCAUAUGAGCAGAUUCAUGACAAACUACUGGAGUACUGGAUUAACAUCAUUUAACCUUACCAUAAUCCACAUAGCACAGACCCUGUGCACCAACUUACACUAAAUGUAAAACUUUUGCCUGUUGACUUCUCUAGGAGAUGUUAACUUAAGCUGGUCAGUUUUCUCUUCUAAAAAUGCCCAAAUUCAAUUGCCACGGAGGCUCUAAUUUUGACUCAAAAAGUUCAAUCCACCAACUAAACUUAACACAAAUAAUUAAAACAAGCUAGUAUCUAUCGCCCCCAAAGUCGCCUGCACCUGGAUCCCAACACGCGAGAGUUCACCGGUCUAGAUCAAGAUCAAACCACUGGAACAAGAAAGCAAACAUGCGAAGACGAAGGGAGGGGAUCGCGCCGCGCUUACCUUGACGGCGACGGUGGGGUGGGCGGUGGCGUGGGCCUCGUACAUGAGCAUGUAGUCCGCGACCACCACCACGUUGGGCUGGAUCUCCUCGGAGACGCACUUGGUCCCCGAGGGCGGCAGGUCGAGCCACACCGCCUCCGAGCCCAGCAUCAUCAGCGCCGCCACGAGCGCCCCCACCACCAGCGCCGGCCGGGUCGCCGCUCCCGCUGCCGCCGUCAUCUGCUCCGAUCUGGGCGACCCUGUCUGUCCGAGUCUCCGGUUGGGGAAAUCGUGUGGAGCUUGGAGUAGCGUUGGACGGUAGUAAUGGCGUGGCGUUGGCCCGGGGGAGGGUCUUUUUGGAAUUAUGUACUCCGUUUGGGUGCACGCGAAGAAAUUCCUUACCCACGCGCGACGUGCUGCUUUUUUUUGGCCCGAGGAGCGCCGGUUUCUACUGUUUUCGCCGAAGGCACAGCUAGUGGGCUGGACCAUCUGUAUCGCCUGUAAUGGGCUCGGAAGGCUCGCUCUCGUUUUGUGAAUAACCGGUUUUUUCUUCUUUUGGGGGCAGGUUUUUGUUCAUUUUUUUAGUUUUAAAUUUUAACUUUAAAAAUCCAUGAACUUUUAAAAACAAUCCUGAACAUUUCUAAAAUCAGUGAAAAAUUUUCAAAUUCGUUUUUUCUAAUUCGUCAGAAUUUUUUAAUUUACAUUUUUUAUAAUUCGUGAACAUUUUUUGAGUUCGUGGAAUUUUUUAAAAUCAUGAAUUUUUUAAUUCAUGAUUUUUUUUGAAUUCAUGAACUUUUUUAUUUUUGAACCUUUCAAACUCAGAAGCAUUUUAUUUGAAUAUGUGGAUUUUUAAAAUUAUACCCAAAAAACUGAGAGCUGUUUUUUAGCUAGCAGCUAGCGCAAACAAAAUUUUGGCUAGCUAAACCACACGAGCGAAGUAGCGAGAGCGGCGCUAAUGGACUACGGCCCAAUAACUAUCGCAUGGGUGUUGGUUCCCCAAUCGACGCUAUAAAUGAUGAGGAGGAGCGCCCUAUGCUGGCUGCAUUAGGUUAUGCACCAGAACAAAACUAUGCUUCAUGCAUCAAGCACAAAACUGAGCUUCUUCACCAAAAUUCCUAUGGGCCAAAUCGUGUUGCGGUCAUCCUAGAUGGGACUACACCAAGACCAGGAACUACGAAGAUCAAUGUCGACGCAGGGAUAUAUAAGAAUAUGUGUGUUGGUUUGCUGGUGGCAGUGACAAGAGAUGACAACGGUGUCUUCUUGGGAGCAUCUACACUGUUCUUCGAGGAAUUGUCCUAUCUGUAAACCCUCCAAGCAUUGGCAUGUUGAGAGGCGUUGUAGCGGAAUAUCCCAUAUUACAUAAAAUCACAAUUACAAGAGAUUGUCGGGUUGUUGUGAUGAUUCUUCAGGCAUCGUCAUCGAUUUUGUAUGGACACAUUUUGAUGGUACAAGGGAGGGAUAAGGCUUUUCGGGAAGUUCAUUUCAUGCACGAGAACAUGAAGUCAAAAAAUAUGCUCAUAACCUAGCUUGUAGCGCUUUGUACCUUCAGUUGGCCGUAACAUUUGGCUAAUAGUUCCCCCAAGGAAAUUUGUAUUCAUCAAACUAUCAUUAGCUAAUAAAGAGUAGGUGCACUCUACAAAUUGUGUUAUGGUCACCGCGUUCAAGAAGGUCUCUAUCCGAGGCACAAUGAUAUAAAUCUUUGUGAUAGCGUCUGGUUUUCUCCUACAAUAGAUCGCAGGAUAUUACAUCAUCACAAUGUCGAGCUCGAUUUCAUUCGAGGAGGAGUGGGAGGCAAUGGUUGAUAUAGACUUAACGGUAGCCUCAACACUGACAAGUAGAAGGAGGUGAGCACGUACAAUGUGGAGAAGGUGGUCAAAAAGAAGACGAAUAAAACAAGGUUUUUGGGCUGCCACGGGGUGAGAUGACACCAAGAUGAAUAAAACAAGGUUUUUUAACCAUGACCUUGGUGAUUAUCUCAAAGACAAGAUUCAAGAGACAUAUUGGCCAAGAUGACAAUGGUGUCUUCUUGAAAGAAUGCGGAAGUAUAGGCCAAUAUGUCUCUUGAAUCUUGUCUUUGAGAUAAUCAGUAAGGUCAUGGUUAAAGACUAAUUGCAGUCAUAAAAGGGGGGAUUAGUGUUCUCAAACAACCUUCCUAAAAGGGAGAUACAAAUUUGAGGGGAUACUGAUUCCCCAUGAAACACUAAAAAAACUGGAUAGAGUAAAAGAGUCUAUGGUGUCCUUCUAAAACUGACUUUGGAAGCUUUUGACAUGGUCAAAUGUCCUUCUCUCCUCCAAACUUGGAACUGAAAGGCUUCCCUCCAAAUGGAAUACAUUUUCAUUUUAGUGAUCCAAUAUCACAUUGAGUCCAUAGGCAUUGCCACUACUAUCAAAAGGGGACUAGGAUGUGGUGAAAGAUCGUGGAUGUCGCCUAGAGGGGGGGAGGGUGAAUAGGCGUUUUAAAAUAAUUACGGUUUAGGCUUGAACAAAUGCGGAAUAAACCUAGCGGUUAAUUUGUCAAGCACAAAACCUAAAACAACUAGGCUCACCUAUGUGCACCAACAAUUUAUGCUAUGCAAGAUAAGCAACUAAGUGAUAGCAAGAUAUAUGACAAGAAACAAUAUGACUAUCACAAAGUAAAGUGCAUAAGUAAAGGGCUCGGGUAAGAGAUAACCGAGGCACACGGAGACGAUGAUAUAUCCCUAAGUUCACACCCUUGCGGAUGCUAAUCUCCGUUUGGAGCGGUGUGGAGGCACAAUGCUCCCCAAGAAGCCACUAGGGCCACCGUAAUCUCCUCACGCCCUCGCACAAUGGAAGAUGCCGUGAUUCCACUAAGGGACCCUUGAGGGCGGUCACCGAACCCGUACAAAUGGCAAUCCUUGGGGGCGGUCACCAAACCCGUACACUUUGGCAACCCUUGGGGCGGUCACCGGUACCCGUCAAAUUGCUCGGGGCGAUCUCCACAACCUAAUUGGAGACCCCGAUGCUUGCUCGGAGCUUUACACCACAAUGAUUGAGCUCCGAACACCACCAACCGUCUAGGGCGCUCAAGCACCCAAGAGUAACAAGCUCAAGGGUACCAAGCACCCAAGAGUAAUAAGCUUCUCAACUUGUAACUUCCACGUAUCACCGUGGAGAACUCAAACCGAUGCACCAAAUGCAAUGACAAGGGCACACGGAGUGCCCAAGUCCUUCUCUCUCAAAUCCCACCGAAGCAACUAAUGCUAGGGAGGAAAAUGAGAGGAAGAACAAGAAGGAGAACACCAAGAACUCCAAGAUCUAGAUCCAAGGGGUUCCCCUCACAUAGAGGAGAAAGUGAUUGGUGGAAAUGUGGAUCUAGAUCUCCUCUCUCUUUUCCCUCAAAAACUAGCAAGAAUCCAUGGAGGGAUUGAGAGUUAGCAAGCUCGAAGAAGGUCAACAAUGGGGGAAGAAAAUGAGCUCAAAGGAUAAGGUUCAUUGGGGAAGAAGACCCCCUUUUAUAGGAGCUCCCGAAUCCAACGGUUAUGUGCUCAGCCCGCACACGAGCGGUACUACCGCUCCACGAGUGGUACUACCGCUCCACGAGUGGUACUACCGCUUAGCAUGGUCAAAACACCCCAACGAGAGAGAAAAACACGAGCUGAAAAACUGCCAGAGAGGUAGAGCAGUAUGAGCGGCACUACCGCUGUAGCCAGCGGUACUACCGUUGGCCGCAGCGGUGCUGCCGCUUGGCCCAGCGGUACUACCGCUCCUACUGCUACUCCUACUGCCGCUGAACCCAACACGAGAAGAGCAGGACCCAAAAAUCGAGGCGGUAGAAGAGCGGCACUGCAGUGGUACUAUGGCUGAGAGCUCCAAGUGAUACUACCGCUGGGACCAGACAAAAGCCACUCUCAAGAAACAAGAACUGCCAUAACUUCUUCAUACGAGCUUCGAAUUGAGCAAACUCAAGCUUGUUGGAUACAAGACGACGAGUAGCAUCAAAACAACGACCGAGAAAUGCCUAACAAGAAGAGGAGUGAAACCUCCAACCGAGAAGAACCGGCAAAACCUCCGACAUCAAAAACAUCAUAGAAGAUGCAUGCGAACUCCGUUUUCGAUGAACUCAAGCUUGUCAUCAAGAUGACCAUAAGCUCUAAGACUCACAAAGAGAACCAAACAAGAACCAAGAAAGAUGAUGCAAGGAUGCAAUGGUUUGAGCUCUCUACGAACGAUACGAUCAAGCUACUCAUCGAGAGCCCCCCCUUGAUAGUACGAUAAUCGAUCCUAUAACCCGGUUUCCCAACUACCAUCAUGAGACCGGUAAAAUAGAAAACCUAUCAAGGGCAAACCUUUGCCUUGCACAUGGUCCACUUGAGCUAGAUGAUGACGAUCUUGACUCCCUCAAGUUGGACCACCUUUCUUGAUUGGGUUGACUCGAUGAAGACUAGUUGAUUGCUCCCCCAUACUCCACUAUGGGUGAGCCACUCUUCCGCACAUCUUCACAAGUCCAUUGUCACCAAAAAGGAUGGCAAGCUUCAAGCAUUUGAUCUCUUCGUGAUGCUCCACUUGAACUUGCACACCGCAACCUAACCCCAUAAAGAACUCUCACGAAGACCAUGGGUUAGUACACCAAGCGUAAUUGACAAUGCUUACUAUACUAAGGGAUCACUUAAUCCCUCUCGGUACAUCUUCUACGCUUUGUGGGUUGAUCCCUCUCGGUACAUUUUCUACGCUUUGUGGGUUGAUAAACUUGAUUCACUCUUUGACUUAGUCUUGAUCAACCUCUCACAAGACCAAUCUUUAGGUAAUUCCUUGAAUAGCACCUUGGUCGACACAAACUCUCCUUGAAACCAACACAUGUACUCCAAGAAAAGCAUAUGGACAAAACCUUUAAAUAUAACUCAGGGCAACCAUUAGUCCAUAGAGAUUGUCAUCAAUUACCAAAACCAAACAUGGGGGCACCGCAUGUUCUUUCAUCUGGUAAUGAGCCUUCUGCUCCAUGUGCUUAAAGAUCAAACACGAAAAGCUUGUCAAAAGUUUCCACUAUAUAUACCUAGUGACAUUCAUCUCGGUGUUGUUAAAGCACCUCCACUCGAAAAACACCUAAUCAUCAAGAUAUAAUCGAUGGACAAACCCUAUUCAAUCCAAGCCUCCAACAGUCCAUCCAGAGCCAGCAAAGCAACCUGGUAAACUUAUCGUUACCAUGUUAGAAAUUCCGAGCAAUACAAGCCAGAACUUAUGCAACGUUAACAGAGAGUGCCACUGUUGAAGUGCUCUCUUUGGAGACACCAAUUGAUUUUCAUUCGGAACUACAGAUGCAUAUGAAAGUUGACACUUUUGUUCACUUUGGAGCCACCGAGCAAUUCCUAUCGGAACCUCCGAGAUGUGCAAUAGGCUUUCCAAUCCAACUAUCUAGUAAAACCCUUUGAGAUCUAAUCCCCUCUUGCUUUCCACUCCUACUUCUCCAAAUCCAUAGCCAAAUCUUGAGAGAGUUUGAGUGUUGAGGAAAUUAUCUUUUGAAGCACAAGAGCAAAUGAUUCAUCACCAAUCAACCUCUGUCUUUGCUAUUUUUGGAGGGUGUGCGCCUCCUAGGUUGGCUAGGUGUUGCUUGGAAGUCUUCAAGACUGUGUAGAACCCAAGAAGUUUGUACAGUCUUGGAGAUCGCCUACUUCAUGGAGAUCUACCUUAGUGAGACAAUUCCUUCAUGGGCGUGUGCCAUGGUGGAAUAGUUGUGAUUUCUCCUUCGUGGAGCCUUUGUGGACCUUAUUCCUUCGUGGAAUAUCGCAACUGGGAUACUUGUGAUCUUAGAUCCUUUGCAGAUCGAAGCCUCCAUCAACGUGGAUGUAAGAUAGUGCCAACUAUCCGAAGCACGAGAAAAACCUUCACUAAGCCAAUUGUGUUUGCGAUUCUCUCAACUCUAUCUCAUUUAUUUUGCACUUGCAUAUCUUUACUUUCCACUGCCUAUAGGGUGCUCUAUAGAUUGCUAGAAAAGUCUAAAAUCAGCCAAGAAAUUAAAACUUGGGAAAGAGUCUAUUUUGAGCUUAGUUCACACCCCUCUAGACAUGCUUAUCGAUCCUACAUUAAGGUUUUAGUCCUUUCAUAGGUGAUGCUCAGACGGAUGGAAGCGCUUCUUCUUCGAGUUAGUCUUCCGGGCUCUGAUCUUUGUCAAGUUCGUUUGUUGGGACGGAUUAGACGAAGCUCCAACAUCGAUUCUCAUCGUGCGUACACGACGCUGACAUUGGCGUCAGGUUCUUCAAAUCGAUUCAAGGGUUCAAUGGCGACGACUGCGACUCCGAGGUGUUGGUCCUCAGGGCAGGUGCAUAAAGACUUCCCAACUGUCAUGAAUAAGGCCAUGCCGGCUCCGGUAUGAGAAUGACACCAACAACACAUUCGAUCAACGAUUCUGGUCGUUCGGUGGUCCAUAGACAUUGUUGCAAUUUGUCUUAUGUUUGAGGUACUUUGUACUUCUGGUGAAUCUUUAUAAUAGAUCUAAGUUCUUUUUGCAAAAAGCAACAACAUUUGUUCGGGAUCAUUCAUGCAUACUACUCCCACCGUUCCUAAAUAUAAGUCUUUUUUAGAGAUUCCAAUAUAGACUACAUAUGGAGCAAAAUGAGUGGAUCUACACUCUAAACUAUGUCUAUAUACAUCCGUAUGUAUUUCAUAUUGAAAUCUUUAAAAUGACUUAUAUUUAGAAACGGAUGGGAGUAUUUGUCAUAUACUUCAUGCAAAUCUCGGGGCAGAUGGAGAUCCUGCAACACUAAGCUUAGGAAUUCUUUUCAUUACCAAGACCAUAAUAUGUAAUUGGUAGUUUCCUUUAAUUUAUAAGAUCACAGUGCACAACGGCCUCUUGUAAUUUGAUAUAAGCAGAAAAUAGUUGACUUUACCUCUUCUGCGAAAUUGAAAAUUUCAAAAAUCACAAUUUUAGGUUCCAUAAAAUUCUAAAAAUAAUACACAUACACCAAUGGAUGUAUAGCACUUGUCUACAAAGUUUCACCAUCAAAUGCAUUUUCACGCAAUCUACACAUAAUCAUGUAUUUCUAGUACAUAUACUAUUCACUAUAAAAAUACAUGAUUUUUUUACAAGUCACAUCAAAACGCAUUUUAUAAUGAAAUUUAUACACAUCUAUUAUACAUCUAUAAGUACUUCUGUAUUUAUUUUCAGUUUUUUUAAACAUAAAAGGUUGGUUUUUGAAUUUUUGAAGGAGUCUGAGAGCCCAAAAGCCUCACUCCCUCUUCUAUUGCUAACAACUAUGUAUUGUUUUAUGCAAAUUCAACUUUCAUGUUUCUAUAUUUAUAUAAAUUCCCAUUGUUUUUAUUGUAAAAAAUAGGCAGGCACAGCAAUGGCGUGCCACCAUGAUCUAGUGUACAAUGUGAAAGGACAAAAGACACAUAUUAAGUAAAUACCACUCUAGUAGUAAUUUAAGUUGGUUCAAGUAGAAAGACAGUCUAGAAAACAAAAGGCACACACAAAUCUUAUGCCCUUCAACAUUAUCACCAUUGAUCAGACACAGGUCGCAUAGGAGAUCAACGAACCACAUGGAUUCUUCAAACGUAUACUACCAUACAAGUCAGUUGAAACAUAAUAGACAAGUUGACUGAAGACACAGGCCAUCAUGUCCAACACAUUAAGAUACAAGGAGAGAUAUAUGUUGCUUAGGACCUGUUUGGUACUGAUAGGAGUUAGGGUUCUUCCCGGUCUCGGACGUAGGUUGUAGGGGAACGAGGGA